rnacentral:lncRNA from 1 species
GCAUACACUUGACACUAAAAGCAAAACAUAAACGUUAAAGUGCACAAGAUUCAAAAGGGUCUAAAUAGAACAGUCAGAAGAGUCUAAACAGAACAUCACAGAAUAACAGAACACCAAAAAGAGAGUGUAAACAGAACAGCCAAAAAAGAGUGGAAACAGAACAGUCGAAAGAGUCUAAACAGAACAUUCAAAAUGAUGUAUACAGAACAAUCAAAAAGUAAACCGAAUAGUCAAAAGAGUCUAAACAGAACACCAA